UACAGAGGUCUCAAGCGUUGUUCGGAUUCAUUGGGCGUAAAGGGUGCGUAGGCGGUGUCGUAAGUCGGAUGUGAAAUCCCGGGGCUUAACUUCGGAACUGCAUUCGAUACUGCGAUACUCGAGGACUCGAGAGGAGAUUGGAAUUCACGGUGUAGCAGUGAAAUGCGUAGAUAUCUGGAGGAAUACCGGUGGCGAAGGCGGCAUCCUGGACCGACAUUGACGCUGAUGAGCGAAAGCCAGGGGAGCGAACGGG
rnacentral:rRNA from 1 species